AGAGUUUGAUCAUGGCUCAGAUUGAACGCUGGCGGAAUGCUUUACACAUGCAAGUCGAGCGGCAGCGCGGGGCAACCUGGCGGCGAGCGGCGAACGGGUGAGUAAUGCAUCGGAACAUGUCCAUUUGUGGGGGAUAGCCCGGCGAAAGCCGGAUUAAUACCGCAUGAGCCCGAGAGGGGAAAGUGGGGGACCGCAAGGCCUCACGCGAAUGGGUUGGCCGAUGUCCGAUUAGCUAGUUGGUGGGGUAAAGGCCUACCAAGGCGAUGAUCGGUAGCUGGUCUGAGAGGAUGAUCAGCCACACUGGGACUGAGACACGGCCCAGACUCCUACGGGAGGCAGCAGUGGGGAAUUUUGGACAAUGGGGCAACCCUGAUCCAGCCAUUCCGCGUGAGUGAAGAAGGCCUUCGGGUUGUAAAGCUCUUUUGUCCGGAACGAAACGGUCAGGUCUAAUAAGCCUGACUACUGACGGUACCGGAAGAAUAAGCACCGGCUAACUACGUGCUAGCAGCCGCGGAAUUC
rnacentral:rRNA from 1 species